rnacentral:rRNA from 1 species
AACGAACGCUGGCGGCAUGCCUAACACAUGCAAGUCGAACGAGACCUUCGGGUCUAGUGGCGCACGGGUGCGUAACGCGUGGGAACCUGCCCUUAGGUUCGGAAUAACUCCCCGAAAGGGGUGCUAAUACCGGAUAAUGUCUUCGGACCAAAGAUUUAUCGCCUUUGGAUGGGCCCGCGUUGGAUUAGCUAGUUGGUAGGGUAAAAGCCUACCAAGGCGACGAUCCAUAGCUGGUCUGAGAGGAUGAUCAGCCACACUGGGACUGAGACACGGCCCAGACUCCUACGGGAGGCAGCAGUGGGGAAUAUUGGACAGUGGGCGGAGGCCUGAUCCAGCAAUGCCGCGUGAGUGAUAAAGGCCUUAGGGUUGUAAAGCUCUUUUACCCGGGAUGAUAAUGACAGUACCGGGAGAAUAAGCUCCGGCUAACUCCGUG